GACGAACGCUGGCGGCGUGCUUAACACAUGCAAGUCGAACGGAGUGGCGAACGGGUGAGUAACACGUGGGUGAUCUGCCUUGCACUUCGGGAUAAGCUUGGGAAACUGGGUCUAAUACCGGAUAGUGCAAGAUGAGCUCGCGGCCUAUCGGCUUGUUGGUGGGGUAAUGGCCUACCAAGGCGUCGACGGGUGGCCGGCCUGAGAGGGUGUACGGCCACAUUGGGACUGAGAUAGGGGCAGGACUGCUACGGGGGCCAGCAGUGGGGAAUAUUGCACAAUUGGCGGAGGCCUGGUGCAGCGACGCCGGGGGGGGGAUGAAGGCCUUCGGGUUGGAAACUCCUUUCGACAGGGACGCGGUACCUGUAUAAGAAGCACCGGCUAACUACGUGCCAGCAGCCGCGGUAAUAC
rnacentral:rRNA from 1 species